rnacentral:rRNA from 1 species
CAGUCGCCGCGGUAAAACGUAGGGUGCAAGCAUUAAUCGGAAUUACUGGGCGUAAAGCGUGCGCAGGCGGUUAUAUAAGUCAGAUGUGAAAUCCCCGGGCUCAACCUGGGAACUGCAUUUGAGACUGUAUGGCUAGAGUGUGUCAGAGGGGGGUAGAAUUCCACGUGUAGCAGUGAAAUGCGUAGAUAUGUGGAGGAAUACCGAUGGUGAAGGCAGCCCCCUGGGAUAACACUGACGCUCAUGCACAAAAGCGUGGGGAGCAAACAGGAUUAGAUACCCCAGUAGUCCCUGUCUCUUAUAC